GAAGUUGGCCGGACAGUCGCUGCUCAGCUUGCUGGGGAGAGGAAAGUCCGGGCUUCAUAGGGCAGGAUGCCGGUUAACGGCCGGGCGCCGCGAGGCGACGGAAAGUGCAACAGAGAACAGACCGCCGAACUCCGGGUAACCGGGGUGGCAAGGGUGAAACGGUGGGGUAAGAGCCCACCGCGGACGUGGUAACACGGACGGCAUGGUAAACCCCAUCCGAAGCAAGACCAAAUAGGCAGGCGUUGAGGGGGCCCCCGGAGCCUGCGGGUAGGUUGCCUGAGGCGUGCGGUAACGUACGUCCUAGAGGAAUGACUGUCGGUGGCGGCGCAAGCCGCCAUGUCACAGAACCCGGCUUACAGGCCGACUUCGCAA
rnacentral:RNase_P_RNA from 1 species